rnacentral:rRNA from 1 species
UACGUAGGGGGCAAGCGUUGUCCGGAAUCAUUGGGCGUAAAGAGCGUGUAGGCGCCAGACAGGUCCGUUGUGAAAACUGGAGGCUCAACCUCCAGACGUCGAUGGAAACCGUCUGGCUAGAGUCCGGAAGAGGAGAGUGGAAUCCUGGUGUAGCGGUGAAAUGCGCAGAUAUCAGGAAGAACACCCGUGGCGAAAGCGGCUCUCUGGGACGGUACUGACGCUGAGACGCGAAAGCGUGGGGGAGCGAACAGG